UAAUACGAAGGGGGCUAGCGUUGUUCGGAUUUACUGGGCGUAAAGCGCGUGUAGGCGGACUUGUAAGUUGGGGGUGAAAUCCCGAGGCUCAACCUCGGAACUGCCUCCAAAACUACAAGUCUGGAGCAAGAUAGAGGCAAGUGGAAUUGCGAGUGUAGAGGUGAAAUUCGUAGAUAUUCGCAGGAACACCAGUGGCGAAGGCGACUUGCUGGAUCUUUGCUGACGCUGAGACGCGAAAGCGUGGGGAGCAAACAGG
rnacentral:rRNA from 1 species